rnacentral:rRNA from 1 species
GUAGCUUAACCUUCGGGAGGGCGCUUGCCACGGUGUGGCCGAUGACUGGGGUG